GACGAACGCUGGCGGCGUGCUUAACACAUGCAAGUCGAGGGGCAGCGGGGAGUAGCAAUACUCUGCCGGCGACCGGCGCACGGGUGAGUAACGCGUAUGCAACUUACCUAUCAGAGGAGAAUAGCUCAUCGAAAGAUGAAUUAAUGCUCCAUAAAACAGGGGUCCCGCAUGGGAAUAUUUGUUAAAGAUUUAUCGCUGAUAGAUAGGCAUGCGUUCCAUUAGGCAGUUGGCGGGGUAACGGCCCACCAAACCGACGAUGGAUAGGGGUUCUGAGAGGAAGGUCCCCCACAUUGGUACUGAGACACGGACCAA
rnacentral:rRNA from 1 species